rnacentral:misc_RNA from 1 species
UCCGGUUUGUCACCGGCAGUCUCCCUAGAGUGCCCUCGCGUAGCAACUAAUGACAAGGGUUGCGCUCGUUGCGGGACUUAACCCAACAUCUCACGACACGAGCUGACGACAGCCAUGCAGCACCUGUGUUCCAGUUCCCUUUCGGGCACAGCCGCCUUUCAGCAGCCUUCCGGACAUGUCAAGGGUAGGUAAGGUUUUUCGCGUUGCAUCGAAUUAAUCCACAUAAUCCACCGCUUGUGCGGGUCCCCGUCAAUUCCUUUGAGUUUUAAUCUUGCGACCGUACUCCCCAGGCGGAAUGCUUAAUGCGUUAGCUGCGCCACCGGCGGUAACCCGCCGACACUUAGUGUCCAUCGUUUAGGGCGUGGACUAC